rnacentral:rRNA from 1 species
CCUACGGGAGGCAGCAGUGGGGAAUUUUCCGCAAUGGGCGAAAGCCUGACGGAGCAACGCCGCGUGGGGGAUGAAGGCCUCUGGGCUGUAAACCCCUUUUCUCAAGGAAGAAGACCUGACGGUACUUGAGGAAUAAGCCACGGCUAAUUCCGUGCCAGCAGCCGCGGUAAUACGGGAGUGGCAAGCGUUAUCCGGAAUUAUUGGGCGUAAAGCGUCCGCAGGCGGCCUAUUAAGUCUGUCGUUAAAGCGUGGAGCUCAACUCCAUUUAAGCGAUGGAAACUGGAAGGCUAGAGUGUGGUAGGGGCAGAGGGAAUUCCCGGUGUAGCGGUGAAAUGCGUAGAUAUCGGGAAGAACACCAGUGGCGAAGGCGCUCUGCUGGGCCAUAACUGACGCUCAUGGACGAAAGCCAGGGGAGCGAAAGGGAUUAGAUACCCCUGUAGUCCUGGCCGUAAACGAUGAACACUAGGUGUCGGGGGAAUCGACCCCUCGGUGUCGUAGCUAACGCGUUAAGUGUUCCGCCUGGGAGUACGCACGCAAGUGUGAAACUCAAAUGAAUUGACGG